rnacentral:rRNA from 1 species
GAGUUUGAUCCUGGCUCAGAGUGAACGCUGGCGGCAGGCCUAACACAUGCAAGUCGAACGGCAGCGCAGCAGUAGCAAUACUGUGGGCGGCGAGUGGCGGACGGGUGAGGAAUACAUCGGAAUCUACCUUGUCGUGGGGGGAUAACGUAGGGAAACUUACGCUAAUACCGCAUACGACCUACGGGUGAAAGCGGCGGACCGCAAGGCGUCGCGCGAUUGGAUGAGCCGAUGUCCGAUUAGCUAGUUGGCGGGGUAAAGGCCCACCAAGGCGACGAUCGGUAGCUGGUCUGAGAGGAUGAUCAGCCACACUGGAACUGAGACACGGUCCAGACUCCUACGGGAGGCAGCAGUGGGGAAUAUUGGACAAUGGGCGCAAGCCUGAUCCAGCCAUGCCGCGUGUGUGAAGAAGGCC